AUACGGAGGAUCCGAGCGUUAUCCGGAUUUAUUGGGUUUAAAGGGAGCGUAGGUGGGAUAUUAAGUCAGCUGUGAAAGUUUGGGGCUCAACCUUAAAAUUGCAGUUGAUACUGGUUUCCUUGAGUACGGUACAGGUGGGCGGAAUUCGUGGUGUAGCGGUGAAAUGCUUAGAUAUCACGAAGAACUCCGAUCGCGAAGGCAGCUCACCGGGCCGGAACUGACACUGAUGCUCGAAAGUGCGGGUAUCAAACAGGAUUAGAUACCCUGGUAGUCCACGCAGUAAACGAUGAUUACUAGCUGUUUGCGAUAUACAGUAAGUGGCACAGCGAAAGCGUUAAGUAAUCCACCUGGGGAGUACGCCGGCAACGGUGAAACUCAAAUGAAUUGGCGGGG
rnacentral:rRNA from 1 species